GCAAAAAGGAAUUUAAAAAUUAUAGAAGACAAUUUAUUAUUUAAAAGUGUUUUAUAAUACUUUAAUAAGCAAAAGUUAUCAAAAUUCUGUUCUAAGCUCACUUUUUAACUUACAAAAUGAGGUUCACUUUUCUUGCCAUGAUUUUCUUCACGGUAGCAGCUGCUGAGAGUUCAAAUAAUAAAACAAAUGACCCAACCAGAAACCAGAAUUCUUUAAUAAAAAAUUUGGAAUAUGAAUUGUACAUGCUACAAAAUAUGAACACGAGCGUCGAUCCUUGUGACAAUUUUUACGAAUUUGUUUGUGGUAAUUUUGAUGAUCCAAAUUCUUCUGCUAAAAUUAAUAGAUAUUAUGAUAAACAUAAAGAUGACAUGGCUUCGAGGAUGAAACAUUUAUUAACUAAUUCUC